rnacentral:lncRNA from 1 species
GAAAAGAUAACCAUUACAAGCUCAUUUAUUUUAUUUUAAAUAUGCAGAUUUCAUACAUUAAGGCUUUGGUGACAACAACAACGUUGAGAUAUAUCACAUGCUCCAUUUGAAAAACCUUGGCCUUUGCAUUCAAAGUUGCAAUCCUCUGCUGUGAAGUCAGUUGUGCAUGCCUUAAAGCAAAAUGGCCUACCUGAAUCAUUUAUUUGACCUGUCACCCAAAAAAAUUAGUUUAAAUUUUUACAAAAAAAGAAAAAAAUAUUAACAAACAAAAAAAAAAGGUUAUUAAAGGAUCUUAUGUCAAAUAAAAAGAAAAAAAUAUUAACAAACAAAAAAAAGGUUUAUUAAAGGAUCUUAUGUAUUUACCUAGAGAAUUUAAUGCAGUUGAAAAUGAGACAAAUAGGAGGAGAAAUACAACUAAGAACUUGGGAAACUCCAUUUGAGGCUUACUCUGUUGAUAUAAAUGUUUAGAGUUUAG